GCUCCGCUAGCUCAGUUGGUUAGAGCGUGGUGCUAAUAACGCCAAGGUCACAGGUUCGACCCCUGUGCGGAGCA
rfam:Spizellomyces punctatus DAOM BR117 chromosome Tnknown supercont1.5, whole genome shotgun sequence.